CUGACUGACAGCAGUGUCACUUAAGCAUGGCAUUCAAAAAUGUAAAAAACUUGAGGACGGAGGAUUAACAAGUGCCUGGACUUCAGUGUCAGUACAUCUAUCGCUGUUUUCAGUGUACGAGGAGUAAAAUAGAAACUAGAGCUCCAUACAUUAGCAGAGUGAGAGCGUGAGACAGAGCCUGGAAGCGUGUGUCUCACGCCAAAUGCGUGAGAGUUGUUGAAUCUAAUCGAAAUGUUUUCCUUUCUUCACAAAUGCCGCUGUCACCUGCUCCACCACAAAAGAUCUGCAUCAAAUGAACAGCAAUCAAGAAUCAGAAAAGUGCUGUAAUAACUCCGUUUGAAAUUAUAAUAACUAAAAUAAAC